rnacentral:lncRNA from 1 species
CAUAUGAAAGUAACAAUACAUUCAACGAACAUUGAAAAAGAAAAAAAUUCGGGCUUCACUAUUUUUUAUUUCAAGCAGUGAAAAAUUAAAACAAAGCACGGUGAAAAAUAUUUUCGAAAAAUGUAAAUUUUUGAGAAAUAUGAAAUUUUUGAGUCAUGUGAAUAUGAGUGUUGUUGGGGGUAGGGAAGAGGUGCGGGGG